AAAACUUCCUCUUUUGUCUGUUGUUCUCUGGAGAAGGAGACACAGAGCAGCAAUGCUAUAAGCAGGAAUGCUGUGUAAGGCUUGAACCAGCUGUGGCUGUCUCCCGACCUACCCUGUCAUCAGAAUCCCAGAGGCUGUCGCAGAUUAGGCGUAGACGUAAAAGGACACAGGACGACAUGUUCUCAGAACUUAUGGGCUGCUCCUGAGCCGAGGCAACCCUGCAGAGUCAGUGGAGGGAGAACAUGUCCCAAUACCAGCGAGCACACAGCGAACGGGAGGAGAGGUGGCGGCAGGAAGACCAGCAGGCGACUCAAACACUGCUUGGACUAAUGAGGGAGCAAACGGACACGCUCCGGCGCCUUGUGGAUGUUCUGCAGGACCGGAGGCAGGAGGACAGAGCCCCGCUGCAGUCUAUGUGUAACCACCGUCCCCCGCCACAAAGUCCCAUACCCCCCUCACCGAAAGUACCAAGAAGGAGGGGCUGCAGAGCCAGUGCAAACUGUCACUCUACCCCUGCAGACUGCUCAAGUGGCAGGAGGCUGUCAUUCCCCAAAAUUUGAUAAGUCCUUUCCUUCCCGCAUCACCCAAUCCCCCAUCCCAGUUUCAUCCCCUAACUGUCCAUUUGCUAAUAAAAAAUGUUUCUGUUAA